rnacentral:tRNA from 1 species
AGAAGCUUAGGAUAAUAUUAAACCAAAGGCCUUCAAAGCCUUAGACAAGAGUUAAACCCUCUUAGUUUCUG